rnacentral:rRNA from 1 species
ACUCCUACGGGAGGCAGCAGUAGGGAAUCUUCCGCAAUGGACGAAAGUCUGACGGAGCAACGCCGCGUGAGUGAUGAAGGCCUUAGGGUCGUAAAGCUCUUUCGCCUGUGAAGAUAAUGACGGUAGCAGGUAAAGAAACCCCGGCUAACUCCGUGCCAGCAGCCGCGGUAAU